GCCAGAGUGGUGUAGUGGUUUGAGCUUUGGACUGUGAGUCUCAAGACCAGGGUUCAAAUCUCCACUCAGCCA